AUUGAACGCUGGCGGCAUGCUUUACACAUGCAAGUCGAACGGUAACAGGUUAAGCUGACGAGUGGCGAACGGGUGAGUAAUGCAUCGGAACGUGCCCGAUCGUGGGGGAUAACGCAGCGAAAGCUGCGCUAAUACCGCAUACGAUCUGAGGAUGAAAGCGGGGGACCGUAAGGCCUCGCGCGAUCGGAGCGGCCGAUGUCAGAUUAGGUAGUUGGUGGGGUAAAGGCUCACCAAGCCGACGAUCUGUAGCUGGUCUGAGAGGACGACCAGCCACACUGGGACUGAGACACGGCCCAGACUCCUACGGGAGGCAGCAGUGGGGAAUUUUGGACAAUGGGCGCAAGCCUGAUCCAGCAAUGCCGCGUGAAGGAAGAAGGCCUUCGGGUUGUAAACUGCUUUUGUACGGAGCGAAAAGGCUUUCUCUAAUACAGGGGGCUCAUGACGGUACCGUAAGAAUAAGCACCGGCUAACUACGUGCCAGCAGCCGCCGUAAAAC
rnacentral:rRNA from 1 species